rnacentral:rRNA from 1 species
AUUGAACGCUGGCGGCAUGCUUUACACAUGCAAGUCGAACGGUAGCAGGGAGCUUGCUCCGCUGACGAGUGGCGAACGGGUGAGUAAUGCGUCGGAACGUGCCGAGUAGUGGGGGAUAGCGCAGCGAAAGUUGUGCUAAUACCGCAUACGUACUGAGGUAGAAAGUGGGGGACCUUCGGGCCUCACGCUAUUCGAGCGGCCGACGUCUGAUUAGCUAGUAGGUGAGGUAAAGGCUCACCUAGGCGACGAUCAGUAGCGGGUCUGAGAGGAUGAUCCGCCACACUGGGACUGAGACACGGCCCAGACUCCUACGGGAGGCAGCAGUGGGGAAUUUUGGACAAUGGGCGAAAGCCUGAUCCAGCCAUGCCGCGUGUCUGAAGAAGGCCUUCGGGUUGUAAAGGACUUUUGUCGGGGAGGAAAUCCCCAGCGCUAAUACCGCUGGGGGAUGACAGUACCUGAAGAAUAAGCACCGGCUAACUACGUGCCAGCAGCCGCCGUAACAC